GGAUAUGAGGGCAAUCUGGCUGUGACCUCUGUCACCCCAUUGAUCUUUAGGGUUGAUUCAGCUGAUCUGGCUGGCUAGGUGGGUGUCCCCUUCCUCCCUCACCACUCCAUGUGUGUCCCUCCCAAAGCUGCACACUCAGUCGAAGAGGACAACCAUCCUCAAUACAGGAGAACUGUUUCCUCAGUCAAGGGUAUAUGAGUAGCUGCACUCCCCUGCCAGAAUCUCCAAACAAGCUCUCAAAUUGGAAUGUGACAUUCAACAAUUGGUUUACCAGUUUCCAAAUGAUAUUACAUUUG
ensembl:misc_RNA 7SK 7SK RNA